rnacentral:rRNA from 1 species
CCUACGGGUGGCAGCAGUGAGGAAUAUUGGUCAAUGGACGCAAGUCUGAACCAGCCAAGUAGCGUGCAGGAUGACGGCCCUCCGGGUUGUAAACUGCUUUUAGUUGGGAAUAAAAGGGGGCUCGUGAGCCCCGUAUUGUAUGUACCAUCAGAAAAAGGACCGGCUAAUUCCGGGCCAGCAGCCGCGGUAAUACGGAAGGUCCGGGCGUUAUCCGGAUUUAUUGGGUUAAAGGGGAGCGUAGGCCGGCUUUUAAGUAAGCUGUGAAAGUCCGGGGCUCAACCCCGACGAGCCGUUGAAACUGGCUGUCUUGAGAUGUCGAGAGGUAUGCGGAAUGCGCAGUGUAGCGGUGAAAUGCUUAGAUAUUGCGCAGAACUCCGAUUGCGAAGGCAGCAUACCGGCGGCGAUCUGACGCUGAGGCACGAAAGCGUGGGUAUCGAACAGGAUUAGAUACCCGGGUAGUC